AUUUCCUCUUGGCCUUUUAGCUCGAAACAUGUGUAGAUUCUGUUAUUGUCAGUUUAAUCUCCGACAUGUCCCUUAUCUGGGGGCCAUAUAUUAACCAGAACUUUCCAGCACCAGACUCUCAGCUCGGAUCUCCAGCAUCUGCAGUCCUCACUUUCUGCUAGAACUGAUCUAUCUCUGUCUUAAAUAUACUCAAU